rfam:Clostridium colicanis DSM 13634 CLCO_contig000004, whole genome shotgun sequence.
UAGUUGGUAUUCUUGUGAAACCAAACUUCAUAAUUUAUUAUAAUCAAUUUAAUUUAACAACUUAUAUCCAAUUUUGGAAUAAGAAUGGAGG